rnacentral:rRNA from 1 species
AGUGAACGCUGGCGGUAGGCCUAACACAUGCAAGUCGAACGGCAGCACAGGAGAGCUUGCUCUCUGGGUGGCGAGUGGCGGACGGGUGAGGAAUACAUCGGAAUCUACUCUGUCGUGGGGGAUAACGUAGGGAAACUUACGCUAAUACCGCAUACGACCUACGGGAGAAAGCAGGGGAUCUUCGGACCUUGCGCGGUUGAACGAGCCGAUGUCGGAUUAGCUAGUUGGGGGGGUAAAGGCCCACCAAGGGGACGAUCCGUGGCUGGUCUGAGAGGAUGAUCAGCCACACUGGAACUGAGACACGGUCCAGACUCCUACGGGAGGCAGCAGUGGGGAAUAUUGGACAAUGGGCGCAAGCCUGAUCCAGCCAUACCGCGUGGGUGAAGAAGGCCUUCGGGUUGUAAAGCCCUUUUGUUGGGAAAGAAAUCCAGCUGGUUAAUACCCGGUUGGGAUGACGGUACCCAAAGAAUAAGCACCGGCUAACUUCGUGCCAGCCGCCGCGGUAA